CCUACGGGUGGCAGCAGUGGGGAAUAUUGGGCAAUGGAGGAAACUCUGACCCAGCAACGCCGCGUGAAUGAUGAAGGUCUUCGGAUUGUAAAGUUCUUUUCUAAGGGAAGAAGAAAGUGACGGUACCUUAGGAAUAAGCCUCGGCUAACUACGGGCCAGCAGCCGCGGUAAUCCGUAGGAGGGGAGCGUUAUCUGGAAUGACUGGGCGGAAAGGGUGCGUAGGUUGUUUGGAAAGUUAGGUGGGUAACUCCGAGGCUCAACCUUGGAAAUACCUCUGAAACUGUUGGACUGGAGUGUCGGAGGGGACAGCGGAAUUCCAUGUGUAGCGGUGGAAUGCGUAGAUAUUUGGAAGAACACCAGUGGCGAAGGCGGGUUGCU
rnacentral:rRNA from 1 species